GUGUUUCCGUGGUUAAUUGCCUCUUAGUUUAAUCUCUGGUACCAAUAAAAACAAAACAAAAAAAAAGGCUGAGGAUAUAGCUCAUCUGUAAAGCAUCCCUGGGUUCAACCUCCAGUACCCCAAAAACAAAAACAUGCAAUUUCAAGUGCUUUCUGGAAAUUAGAGGGCUCCAGAUGCAGUUCUAGAGCCUAACAUUAAGGGGCAGCAUGUACCAAAGGUAACAUUCAGCUCUGCCACAACCAGGCAGAAACGAAACCACCUUGUUUUUAAACUCCAGGAGCACCUGGGGUGUAGAAGCCAAAUUUCCAUCUCUUCAAUAAAAUUAGAGCAUCACAAUCUUCAGUAUAUUUUCUAUUAAGAGUUUUACCUGCCAAUUGAAUUCUCCAAGUGAAUUAUUCUGUGGUUGAAUGUGAUUUAAACACAAUACUAUGGAGUCCUACUGUAUGAUUUACUGAUUUUAAAGAAUCUGUAAUUUCAGCAACUUGCCCUGAUAAUAUUUCAGUUCAAAUUCAAACUAUAUUCAUUGAAAUGAAUGCUGUUUGUCUGUCUCUCUGCCUUUAAUGAGGCAAUUUUCUAAGAUGUGAAAAAAAAUCAAAUCAUUAUAUGGAUAGUUAAGCUAGACAAGGUUCAGCUCUUGGGAGACUUUACAGUUUCCAUCUUUCAUUCUUUGGCUCAUUAAUCCAUCCAUCAGCAAGGAUUUUAGAGCACGUUCACAUGCCUGAUCCUGUGCUAAGUGCUAUGAAAUGCUGAGAUGAGCCAGACAUCCACCCUGAUAACAAGAAACUCAUUUAAUAUUUAGGAAGUGGGGAUUACAAGAAUAUGUGAUAAAUGAGAGAUCUAUCUAAAAUGGUGACUGUGGAACCAAUGGGCAUUCUGGUUUUUUAAAAUGAUAAAAGUAAAACUUGGC
rnacentral:lncRNA from 1 species